AUACGGAGGGUGCAAGCGUUGUCCGGAUUUAUUGGGUUUAAAGGGUGCGUAGGCGGCGUAAUAAGUCAGUGGUGAAAGCCGGCAGCUCAACUGUCGAGGUGCCAUUGAAACUGUUAUGCUUGAGUACAGACGAGGUAGGCGGAAUUUAUGAUGUAGCGGUGAAAUGCAUAGAUAUCAUAAAGAACACCGAUAGCGAAGGCAGCUUACUAGGCUGUAACUGACGCUGAGGCACGAAAGCGUGGGGAGCGAACAGGAUUAGAUACCCCGGUAGUCC
rnacentral:rRNA from 1 species